UAUAUAUAAUCAUAUCAAUAAACAUGAUUUAAUAAAGUUCUUUUUUUAAACAUUUCUAAGACGUACAAACAAGAAGCAGAGGUGCAAACAAGAAAGAAGGAAAAAUUUACCAACCUGAAAUUGUGCCAGAAAGAAAAUAUCAUAAAUGGGUUUUAAAUGAGGAGACACAACUAAUACAACACUUUUAAAGUUAUAUUAAUGAAAACAAAAUGCCUG